rnacentral:rRNA from 1 species
UGGCGGCAGGCCUGACACAUGCAAGUCGAACGGUAACAGGAAGAAGCUUGCUUCUUUGCUGACGAGUGGCGGACGGGUGAGUAAUGUCUGGGAAACUGCCUGAUGGAGGGGGAUAACUACUGGAAACGGUAGCUAAUACCGCAUAACGUCGCAAGACCAAAAAGGGGGACCUUCGGGCCUCUUGCCAUCGGAUGUGCCCAGAUGGGAUUAGCUAGUAGGUGGGGUAACGGCUCACCUAGGCGACGAUCCCUAGCUGGUCUGAGAGGAUGACCAGCCACACUGGAACUGAGACACGGUCCAGACUCCUACGGGAGGCAGCAGUGGGGAAUAUUGCACAAUGGGCGCAAGCCUGAUGCAGCCAUGCCGCGUGUAUGAAGAAGGCCUUCGGGUUGUAAAGUACUUUCAGCGGGGAGGAAGGGAGUAAAGUUAAUACCUUUGCUCAUUGACGUUACCCGCAGAAGAAGCACCGGCUAACUCCGUGCCAGCAGCCGCGGUAAUACGGAGGGUGCAAGCGUUAAUCGGAAUUACUGGGCGUAAAGCGCACGCAGGCGGUUUGUUAAGUCAGAUGUGAAAUCCCCGGGCUCAACCUGGGAACUGCAUCUGAUACUGGCAAGCUUGAGUCUCGUAGAGGGGGGUAGAAUUCCAGGUGUAGCGGUGAAAUGCGUAGAGAUCUGGAGGAAUACCGGUGGCGAAGG